CUCACCCUCUCUCUCUCCUCUCUCUCUCCCUCUCCCUCUCUCUCUCUCUUUUAAAAAAUCAGCCAUUUGGGGUUUUAAGCCAUAAACGAUUUUUCUUGUUGCAGGGGAUUGCAGAGGCAAAGCUAGACUAGGUCUUGGAGGCUGGUGUAAGGCGGUGCGCGGAAGGCAGGACGCUGAUGGGAGAGACUGGUCGAAGAAAAGCCGAAAUGGAUUCUCCGUGCUUUGGAUGGAGAAAGAGGGGGGAAGUGCGAGCUCCUUCAACUCGUUCUGUCCGGUGAGGAGUGAUCCAGUUUGGGCUGACGAGAGGCUCCGGAGCCUUCACGUUCAGUGCUUUUUACCUGCCAAUCAAACUGCUACAAGACAACACCCUGAUCUGGCGUGGUCGCNNNNNNNNNNNNNNNNNNNNNNNNNNNNNNNNNNNNNNNNNNNNNNNNCAGACAUCUCUUGUGCAACUAAGAAAGACCUCAUUUUCCAUUUGCUGGAUCCUCCUGGUUUGUCAUCCCUGAGUCCUGUAAGAAGCUCAUCAGGAGGUCCCCUGUGCCGGAAGGACCAUGUGAGUUCAUCCCAGAUGAUGGGUGGCACCAUGGUUUUAGCAGCUCACACAGUGGAGAACCACAUUUGCUCUGGAAGAGCUUAGCAACAUGUAUUUGGUAACACAACAAGGUCUUUUGUCUACACACAUGACUGUGUACCAUGUGCACGCCUGGUGUUCAUGGAAGUCAGAAGAGGGCAUGGGAUUCCCUGGGACUUCAGUUACAGAAAGGUUUGAGCUGCUAUGUGGUUAUUGGGAAUUUGAACCUGGGUCCUCUGAAAGAGCAGCCAAUGGUCCUGAUUGGUUGAGCCACCUCUUCAGCCCUGGGUGUUGUCUUUAAUGUACAUAUUAUUUUUGUGAAGUCAUUUGUUACAAAAUGAAGUAUGUAAUAACAAGUCUUUUGGGGUUUUCCCCCCUAAUUUUCUUAUUUCAAGGAAGGUACAAUGAAGAGUCUUCACUCAAGGGGAAAAACUACCCUGAGCCUGUUUUUGAAGUAAAAAUUUUUGUUUGGCGAUUUCCUCCGAUGGGUAGAAUUUAUUCUGGGUCUUAUUUCAAAGCCGAUUAUUCUGAGAAGAGAAGGGCAAUAUUACAAAGACAAUCACGUUGUGUAAAAAGAUUUGCUUGUGCCUCAUUCAUAUGUUGUCAACAAUAUGACCUAAAAAAUAGGAAGAAAGAGGUGAAAAAAGACACGAAACAAACAUAAAAACAGUAUCUGCUUCAAACAUCAAACUUUUCCGUUUGGAAGGGCAUCUUUUAGGUCUUUAUCAACAUCCAAAGUAUAAACAAAUCAAAGGUGUCUUUCUUGUUCUUUUAAAAAACAUUAACUGUGAUACACAUCUCUGUGAGGUAGGUUUUAACAUAUUUUUUCCUAUUUUUUUCCCCUGCUCCAUUCAGUAAGAAGGAUAAGCCUUUAGAGUAUCCAGUCACCAUGGUAACUGCCAAAAAAAUUCUCCUGAAGUUUGAAGAGGUCAGGUCUUGGGGUCGACAACUCUGCCCUCUCCCUGAGCCCAAGCAAUGGCGGUCCUGCGGUUGGAGUGUCAGGCCAGAUCUGACCGUGGGAGGUGCCCCACUCUGGCACGGAGAGAAAUUUUUUGAGUCAGUUCAUGGCCUAGACUCUCCAGGUGGCCUCCAAAAUCAAUUCUGACCUCCUGACCCUGUCUCACAGAGGCAUAGCAUGCACCCUAAGUAAGGAUUUAGCCAGAGACGACAGCAUUUGCUGAGUGUUAUUUGGGACAGUAUAAACACUUGAACAGGCAAGUGAGGGGUUGUCAGCCCCAGAAAUCAUUAAAGCUCACAGCAAAACAAGGAACUCUGCUUUCAAAAGUUACAAGUGCCCAUGUUUCUGAUUCAGAGUCCCUACCGGAAUAAAAUCAGUUUCAUGUAAAUAAUAAAACCAACAGUUACUCUUUUAUAUCUUUUGCUACAAAUAUGCAAAUAAGAUAGAAAGAUCUUCAAGGAACUAGACAAAGCACGAGUAUCAUGUGCUAGAGAAGGAAGGUAAUUAUUAAAAUUCAUUAAUAAGCAAAGAACUUGUAGCAUUGUUAAAGUGGUAAAGUUCAUACCGGUUUUGAAAUAUUUUAAAGGAGAAAUUUUGACAGUGCUGCCUUGUCUGGACAAAGAAAUCUAAGCAGUGGGGAUGAGGAUGGAAUUGUCUGCCUCACUCCCUUGCUACUUUGUAAAGCAAGUGACUUAUAGCCUCCAUUUGGAUACAAAGUAGAGAAACUUUGUAAAUAAGGAAAAUCACAUCACUCACAGCUAAAGGAGAAGAAAAGAGAGAAAAGACAAAAUGUAACAGUGUCUCCCCGCAGAGUUACAAGUUGUCAACAGUUUAAGCUAUCUAAAGUCUGGGGAACAACACCAAGAUGUAUAUAUACACUUGUGAUUCUCUGUGUGCAAACUGUGCAGAGCAUGCUCGCUCAUAUACCCUUGUGAUUCUAUUUGUGUGUGCUCAUGUGUGUAUGUGCACAUACACACACACUUUCUUUUUUCAGAAUGCAUCAUCACUCAAGUAUCACUUUUCCUGAGAGAGCAGCGGUCCAGGCCACUCCCUGAAAGAGGCCCAGAAGGGCUCUGCCUUGACCCCCGCUGAGCUCCCCCCUCAUCCCUAUUUGCUUUCCCUCUUUGCCAGCUCUGCAAAUGGCAAGUUCCUUCCCCAUAGGAAACAGCUGCCAUGCCUUUCCAUCUGAUUCUUUUGUGAAAAUUCUAAGUGAGGCUGAAUAUCCUUUGGGGUACAGACUGGGAGGGGAGUGCUCUACACACACUUUCUGCUCCAAGGCCUGGGCCUUACUAGGCUUCUCACUCCAUUAAAUCCCUAUUAUAAAACUUAUCUCCACAAAGCCUAUUAUAGUGUUCUGAGAACAAACUGGACCAUGAAUAACUUAGUUGGAAGUGUAGAUUAUUUUCUACUGGAGAAAAGUUAGACAUGACAACAGCUUAGCCGAGAGAACAGUGAUUCAUCUUAAAUGGAUGGAUUCAGAGUGCAAUAAAGAGCAUCUCUCUGUUUCCUCUUCACCCUCAUGACACACUUCUUUGUCUUAAGCAUGUCCUGAUGAUGCCAUUGUUCCCCAGCAAAGCACAGAUCUCACAGGGAUAAUGUCCUUCUAGCAGUGGACCUGUAGACAGAUAGAUAGGUCAAGGGGCUCCUGUACUCAGAUGUGGGAUGAAAUAAUAGGGAUAGGAUCUUACAUAAAUCAAUUUCCCAAUUAAAUACAAUUAUUAUUUCCUUUUGUUUCCCCAUGGAGUCCAGGCAUGAUGGCAUGGUGGAAUAUUCCUUGAAUCAUAGCACUCCUGAGGUGGAGGGCAGAGAGAUCUCUAUGAGUUUAAGGCAAGUCCUGUCUAUGCAGUGAGUUCGAGGACAGCGCAGUUGCACAGUAGAAUCCAAGAAGAAGAAGAAGAAGAAGAAGAAGAANNNNNNN
ensembl:processed_transcript